CUAUUUGAUUUUCUUCGGAAAUGAAGAUUUUGUGACUGAGUGGCGGACGGGUGAGUAACGCGUGGGUAACCUGCCUCAUACAGGGGGAUAACAGUUGGAAACGACUGCUAAUACCGCAUAAGCGCACAGGAUCGCAUGAUCCGGUGUGAAAAACUCCGGUGGUAUGGGAUGGACCCGCGUCUGAUUAGCCAGUUGGCAGGGUAACGGCCUACCAAAGCGACGAUCAGUAGCCGACCUGAGAGGGUGACCGGCCACAUUGGGACUGAGACACGGCCCAAACUCCUACGGGAGGCAGCAGUGGGGAAUAUUGCACAAUGGGGGAAACCCUGAUGCAGCGACGCCGCGUGAGCGAAGAAGUAUUUCGGUAUGUAAAGUUCUAUCAGCAGGGAAGAAGAAUGACGGUACCUGACUAAGAAGCACCGGCUAAAUACGUGCCAGCAGCCGCGGUAAUACGUAUGGUGCAAGCGUUAUCCGGAUUUACUGGGUGUAAAGGGAGCGCAGGCGGUGCGGCAAGUCUGAUGUGAAAGCCCGGGGCUCAACCCCGGUACUGCAUUGGAAACUGUCGUACUAGAGUGUCGGAGGGGUAAGUGGAAUUCCUAGUGUAGCGGUGAAAUGCGUAGAUAUUAGGAGGAACACCAGUGGCGAAGGCGGCCUACUGGGCACCAACUGACGCU
rnacentral:rRNA from 1 species